rnacentral:piRNA from 1 species
AUGGGACUGGAGAGAUGGCUCAGCAGUUA